rnacentral:rRNA from 1 species
AGGCAGAGAUGUCGACUUGGAGGUUGUGCCCUUGAGGCGUGGCUUCCGGAGCUAACGCGUUAAGUCGACCGCCUGGGGAGUACGGCCGCAAGGUUAAAACUCAAAUGAAUUGACGGGGGCCCGCACAAGCGGUGGAGCAUGUGGUUUAAUUCGAUGCAACGCGAAGAACCUUACCUGGUCUUGACAUCCACGGAAGUUUUCAGAGAUGAGAAUGUGCCUUCGGGAACCGUGAGACAGGUGCUGCAUGGCUGUCGUCAGCUCGUGUUGUGAAAUGUUGGGUUAAGUCCCGCAACGAGCGCAACCCUUAUCCUUUGUUGCCAGCGGUCCGGCCGGGAACUCAAAGGAGACUGCCAGUGAUAAACUGGAGGAAGGUGGGGAUGACGUCAAGUCAUCAUGGCCCUUACGACCAGGGCUACACACGUGCUACAAUGGCGCAUACAAAGAGAAGCGACCUCGCGAGAGCAAGCGGACCUCAUAAAGUGCGUCGUAGUCCGGAUUGGAGUCUGCAACUCGACUCCAUGAAGUCGGAAUCGCUAGUAAUCGUGGAUCAGAAUGCCACGGUGAAUACGUUCCCGGGCCUUGUACACACCGCCCGUCACACCAUGGGAGUGGGUUGCAAAAGAAGUAGGUAGCUUAACCUUCGGGAGGGCGCUUACCACUUUGUGAUUCAUGACUGGGGUGAAGUCGUAAGGGGGAACCCCCAAAAAACGUGUUGCCCCCAAAGGACUUCACCCGCUAAAAGCUUCCGGU